rnacentral:rRNA from 1 species
CUACGGGAGGCAGCAGUCGGGAAUUUUGCUCAAUGGGCGAAAGCCUGAAGCAGCAACGCCGCGUGAGGGAUGAAGGCCUUCGGGUCGUAAACCUCUUUUGCCGAGGACGAUGAUGACGGUACUCGGUGAAUAAGCCACGGCUAACUACGUGCCAGCAGCCGCGGUAAUACGUAGGUGGCAAGCGUUGUCCGGAUUUACUGGGCGUAAAGAGCGCGCAGGCGGUCGUAUAAGUCGAAUGUGAAAGCCCCCGGCUCAACUGGGGAGGGUCAUUCGAUACUGUUCGACUCGAAGGCAGGAGAGGGAAGUGGAAUUCCGGGUGUAGUGGUGAAAUGCGUAGAUAUCCGGAGGAACACCAGUGGCGAAGGCGACUUUCUGGCCUGUUCUUGACGCUGAGGCGCGAAAGCUAGGGGAGCAAACGGGAUUAGAAACCCGGUAGUCC